ACUGCGAGUGAAGCGGGAAAAGCUCAAAUUUAAAAUCUGGCAGUCUUUGGCUGUCCGAAUUGUAUUCUGGAGAAGCGUUUUCCGCGCUGGACCGUGUACAAGUCUCUUGGAAUAGAGCGUCAUAGAGGGUGAGAAUCCCGUCUUUGACACGGACUACCAGUGCUUUGUGAUGCGCUCUCGAAGAGUCGAGUUGUUUGGGAAUGCAGCUCAAAAUGGGUGGUGAAUUCCAUCUAAAGCUAAAUAUUGGCGAGAGACCGAUAGCGAACAAGUACCGUGAGGGAAAGAUGAAAAGCACUUUGGAAAGAGAGUUAAACAGUACGUGAAAUUGCUGAAAGGGAAACGCUUGAAGUCAGUCGCGUCAUUCAGAACUCAGCCUGGCUUUUGCUUGGUGUACUUUCUGGUUGACGGGCCAGCAUCAGUUUUGACCGCUGGAAAAAGGCCAUAGGAAUGUGGCACCUUCGGGUGUGUUUAUACCCUGUGGUCAUAUACAGCGGUUGGGACUGAGGACCGCAGCACGCCUUUAUGGGUGGGGUUUUACCCACAUUCGUGCUUAGGAUGCUGGCGUAAUGGCUUUAAACGACCCGUCUUGAAACACGGACCAAGGAGUCUAACAUGCCUGCGAGUGUUUGGGUGGAAAACCCGAGCGCGUAAUGAAAGUGAAAGUUGGGAUCCCUGUCGUGGGGAGCACCGACGCCCGGACCAGACCUUUUGUGACGGAUCCGCGGUAGAGCAUGUAUGUUGGGACCCGAAAGAUGGUGAACUAUGCCUGAAUAGGGUGAAGCCAGAGGAAACUCUGGUGGAGGCUCGUAGCGAUUCUGACGUGCAAAUCGAUCGUCAAAUUUGGGUAUAGGGGCGAAAGA
rnacentral:rRNA from 1 species